CCUACGGGAGGCAGCAGUGGGGAAUAUUGGACAAUGGGCGCAAGCCUGAUCCAGCCAUACCGCGUGGGUGAAGAAGGCCUUCGGGUUGUAAAGCCCUUUUGUUGGGAAAGAAAUCCAGCCGGCUAAUACCUGGUUGGGAUGACGGUACCCAAAGAAUAAGCACCGGCUAACUUCGCGCCAGCAGCCGCGGUAAUACGAAGGGUGCAAGCGUUACUCGGAAUUACUGGGCGUAAAGCGUGCGUAGGUGGUUAUUUAAGUCCGUUGUGAAAGCCCUGGGCUCAACCUGGGAACUGCAGUGGAUACUGGAUGACUAGAAUGUGGUAGAGGGUAGCGGAACUCCUGGUGUAGCAGUGAAAUGCGUAGAGAUCAGGAGGAACAUCCAUGGCGAAGGCAGCUACCUGGACCAACAUUGACACUGAGGCACGAAAGCGUGGGGAGCAAACAGGAUUAGAUACCCUGGUAGUCCACGCCCUAAACGAUGCGAACUGGAUGUUGGGUGCAAUUUGGCACGCAGUAUCGAAGCUAACGCGUUAAGUUCGCCGCCUGGGGAGUACGGUCGCAAGACUGAAACUCAAAGGAAUUGACGGGGGCCCGCACAAGCGGUGGAGUAUGUGGUUUAAUUCGAUGCAACGCGAAGAACCUUAC
rnacentral:rRNA from 1 species